rnacentral:rRNA from 1 species
UACGUAGGUGGCGAGCGUUGUCCGGAUUUACUGGGCGUAAAGGGAGCGUAGGCGGACUUUUAAGUGAGAUGUGAAAUACCCGGGCUCAACUUGGGUGCUGCAUUUCAAACUGGAAGUCUAGAGUGCAGGAGAGGAGAAUGGAAUUCCCGGUGUAGAGGUGAAAUUCGUAGAUAUUGGGAGGAAUACCAGAGGUGAAGGCGGCUUUCUGGACGUUGACUGACGCUGAGGCGCGAAAGCGUGGGGAGCAAACAGGAUUAGAUACCCUGGUAGUCCCU